rnacentral:rRNA from 1 species
AGAGUUGUAUCCUGGCUCAGAUUGAACGCUGGCGGCAUGCCUUACACAUGCAAGUCGAACGGUAACGCGGGGCAACCUGGCGACGAGUGGCGAACGGGUGAGUAAUGCAUCGGAACGUGCCCAGUAGUGGGGGAUAGCCCGGCGAAAGCCGGAUUAAUACCGCAUACGACCUACGGGUGAAAGGGGGGGAUCGCAAGACCUCUCGCUAUUGGAGCGGCCGAUGUCAGAUUAGGUAGUUGGUGGGGUAAAGGCCUACCAAGCCGACGAUCAGUAGCCGGUCUGAGAGGAUGAACGGCCACACUGGGACUGAGACACGGCCCAGACUCCUACGGGAGGCAGCAGUGGGGAAUCUUCCGCAAUGGACGAAAGUCUGACGGAGCAACGCCGCGUGAGUGAUGAAGGUUUUCGGAUCGUAAAACUCUGUUGUUAAGGACGAAUGUAUAGAUUGUGAAUAAUGGUUUAUAAUGACGGUACUUAACGAGGAAGCCACGGCUAACUACGUGCCAGCAGCCGCGGUAAUACGUAGGUGGCAAGCGUUGUCCGGAAUUAUUGGGCGUAAAGGGAGCGCAGGUGGGAAUGUAAGUCAAUCUUAAAAG